rfam:Jatropha curcas cultivar GZQX0401 scaffold201_51, whole genome shotgun sequence.
AAUUAUUUGAUGAUAAAAUAACUGCAACAAUAUGAUGGAAAAUUGUUCGAUGAUUGAUGGUAUUUAAGUAUCUGAUGAUU